CUUGGCAUUGAUGUUUGUUGUUUCCAUGUGUAUGUGGCGUUUUCAUUUGUGAUUUGGUGAUGAUGAUAGGUUUGCUUACAGCUGUUCAUAAGGAUUAUUUUAGAGUAUGUAGAAUCUUAUCAGAAGGAAGGAGGAAGAAGAGAAGAUGCAGAGCUUAACAUCAAACGAAGUUGCGGGUUUAGUGGUUGGAGCUCUGCUUAUCGGUGCCACCAUCGCUGUUUCUCAGAGAAGGUUGAUGGAAGUGGGAAGAAGAAGGCAGGUGGGUUUUCUGUUGGCAAGAAGAAAUU